rnacentral:tRNA from 1 species
AGCAAAAAGACAUCAGCCCAAUGCGGGGCUCGAACCCGCGACAACCAGAUUAAGAGUCUGGUGCUCUACCGACUGAGCUAACCGGGCGGCGAUG